CCCUCGGGGGCAGCAGUGAGGAACAUUGGUCAAUGGACGAGAGUCUGAACCAGCCAAGUAGCGUGAAGGAUGACUGCCCUAUGGGUUGUAAACUUCUUUUAUAUGGGAAUAAAGUUUUCCACGUGUGGAAUUUUGUAUGUACCAUAUGAAUAAGGAUCGGCUAACUCCGUGCCAGCAGCCGCGGUAAUACGGAGGAUCCGAGCGUUAUCCGGAUUUAUUGGGUUUAAAGGGAGCGUAGGUGGAUUGUUAAGUCAGUUGUGAAAGUUUGCGGCUCAACCGUAAAAUUGCAGUUGAAACUGGCAGUC
rnacentral:rRNA from 1 species